rnacentral:rRNA from 1 species
UACGUAGGGUGCAAGCGUUGCCCGGAUUUAUUGGGCGUAAAGGGCGCGUAGGCGGCUCUGCACGUCCGUUGUGAAAUCGCCCGGCUCAACUGGGCGGGGUCAGCGGAUACGGCAGAGCUUGAGCAAGCUAGGGGGCAAUGGAAUUCCCGGUGUAGUGGUGGAAUGCGUAGAUAUCGGGGAGGAAACACCAGUGGCGAAGGCGGUUGCCUGGGGGCUUUUGCUGACGCUGAUUGCGCGAAA